UACGGAGGGUGCAAGCGUUAUCCGGAUUCACUGGGUUUAAAGGGUGCGUAGGCGGGCUAGUAAGUCCGUGGUGAAAUCCCCAAGCUUAACUUGGAAACUGCCAUGGAUACUAUUGGUCUUGAAUGUUGUGGAGGUUAGCGGAAUAUGUCAUGUAGCGGUGAAAUGCAUAGAUAUGACAUAGAACACCAAUUGCGAAGGCAGCUGGCUACACAAAUAUUGACGCUGAGGCACGAAAGCGUGGGGAUCAAACAGG
rnacentral:rRNA from 1 species